rnacentral:snRNA from 1 species
UGUCUCGGGCCUACUUCUCAGUCCUAACUCAAAUUUCGCCUUUUACUAAAUUUGACGGGUGAAGUGGGCACUCAAUGAGAAUUUAACAAUUUUUUUCAAGCCUGCCGAAAGGUGGGCU